UCGUUAAUUACUGCGUCAGUUCUCUUUCGCGUGUCGACGAGUAAGCAUCGAAAAUCCCACUUUCCACGACUUCGUUAAUUACUGCGUCAGUUCUCUUUCGCGUGCCGACGAGUAAGCAUCGAAAAUCCCACUUUCCAUUUAAUUUUUAGACUGAUCGUUGUUAACAACGUGUAACCUCUGACUGACUUUCACGGGUACUCGAUCAAAAUAAACAUCGAAGCUAUCCCAAGAUGUCUUUGUUCCAAGCAUCAUCGAAGAU